UUAUAUUAUAUUUUACCUCCUCGUUUGCGGCGGAGUCUUCACUCCGGCGCGAGGACACCCGAGGACACGCGACAAGGCUGGGAGGCUGGAAGCUGCGCCAUGUGAAAGGAGCUCCGCCCCUUUGGACCCUCUCAACUCUUGACCUCUGCAGAAGUCGACGCCGUGACCAAACCUGGACCCUUCCCG